GACAGAGGGGGCAAGCGUUGCUCGGAAUUACUGGGCGUAAAGGGCGCGUAGGCGGGAUGGCAAGUCGGUCGUGAAAUCCCUCGGCUCAACCGAGGAACGUCGAUCGAUACUGCUGUUCUUGAGGAUUGCAGAGGAGACUGGAAUUCCCGGUGUAGCGGUGAAAUGUGUAGAGAUCGGGAGGAACACCGGUGGCGAAGGCGGGUCUCUGGGUAAUUCCUGACGCUGAGGCGCGAAAGCGUGGGGAGCAAACGGG
rnacentral:rRNA from 1 species